rnacentral:rRNA from 1 species
AUUGAACGCUGGCGGCAGGCCUAACACAUGCAAGUCGAACGAGUGGCGGACGGGUGAGUAAUGUCUGGGAAACUGCCCGAUGGAGGGGGAUAACUACUGGAAACGGUAGCUAAUACCGCAUACCAUCGGAUGUGCCCAGGUGGGAUUAGCUAGUAGGUGGGGUAACGGCUCACCUAGGCGACGAUCCCUAGCUGGUCUGAGAGGAUGACCAGCACAACUGGAAUUGAGACAGGGGCCAGACUCCUACGGGAGGAAGGAGGGGGGAAUAUUGCACAAGGGGCGCAAGCCUGAUGCAGCCAGGCGGCGUGUAUGAAGAAGGCCUUCGGGUUGUAAAGUACUUUCAGCGGGGAGGCGUUACCAGCAGAAGAAGCACCGGCUAACUCCGUGCCAGCAGCCGCGGUAAUA